CUACGGGGGGCUGCAGUGAGGAAUAUUGCACAAUGGGGGGAACCCUGAUGCAGCAACGCCGCGUGGAGGAUGACGCCCCUCGCUGUGUAAACUCCUUUUAUAUGUCAAGAAAAUGACGGUAGCAUAUGAAUAAGCACCGGCUAACUCCGUGCCAGCAGCCGCGGUAAUACGGAGGGUGCAAGCGUUCACUCGGAAUCACUGGGCGUAAAGGACGCGUAGGCGGGUUGGAAAGUCAGGUGUGAAAUCCUACAGCUUAACUGUAGAACUGCACUUGAAACUUCUAAGCUAGAGUAUGGGAGGGGGAGAUGGAAUUAGUGGUGUAGGGGUAAAAUCCGUAGAUAUCACUAGGAAUACCUAAAGCGAAGGCGAUCUCCUGGAACAUUACUGACGCUAAGGCGUGAAAGCGUGGGGAGCAAACAGGAUUAGAUACCCUAGUAGUC
rnacentral:rRNA from 1 species